rnacentral:lncRNA from 1 species
GCUCAGCACGUGGCCCUCGAGGACUUGGCGGCUGCGCGGCUGGCGCGUGAAGAAGUUGCGCAUCAUGCUGUGGGCUGCGCGCCGCUGCACCUUCCAGUGCUCCGAGUAGUGGCCGAAAGCCAUGCUGCGGCCGCCGGACACCACACGGAAGGAGGCGAAGGCCGGCCGGUCGGCGAAGGCCGAGCCCUGCUGCACCAGGGCCUGGUGGAUGGCGCGCUCGCCAUUCAGCACCACUAUGGGGCAGCUGCCCAGGCGGAUCUGGAAAACGUCGCCGUAGCGCCGCGCCAGGCGAGCGAACGAGAGGCAGCACUGAGAAGUGAAGGAAUAUUUGGGAGGAUCAGAAGCUUGGUCCUGAUUUUGCCAUCAACAGGAACUUGAUGACUUCAAGGGAGUCCCCAAACCCUGGGUUUCUGUUUUCUCAACUCUAACAUGAGGGGCUAGAUGCAUCUGGUUUAGUUAGUCUCCAUGAUGGUUUAGUUCGUCUCCAUGAUCCUGUGAAUUUCAGAUGUUGAAAAUCUUCGGAAAAGCCCUGAAAGAUGAACAGUGGUCUCAAAUAGUCAAGACCCCCUGCUGGGAGGAGCUUCUAUCCUGCUCUGUGGAAGAAAUGGGCAUGCCAGAUGCCUGGAAGAUCAGAGGCUCACAUUCCAGUUCAAAGUUAGAGAAACCUGAGAGGGGUGUACUGGUAUGACCACCCGAGAUCCCAUCGCUGAGAAAGAUAAUGGCCCUGGAGACAAAGACUGAUGAAGAAAGACAGUAUCCAGCUGUGAUGCAGAUGAAACAUGCGGCAUGGUUGCACUCACUAUGCAGCCAAGGCUGGAAGCCACUCUGGAUCCAGCCACUCUGGCACAGCGUUCUUGCUCUAGGAAGAACAACUGAACAUGGCCACACAGGCCUCACAGCUGGCAUAUGGAGGCUGUUAAUAAGCUGAGCUUGAGGCUUCAAAGGACUCUUGUAGCCUGUGCUGGAUCUAGCAGUGACCAGUAUGCCAGUGGCCAUGGAUGCCCAGGCCCAUGUUCAGUAGUGAAGCAGGUGCUAGCAGCAGAAGCAAUAGAAAUGGAAACUGGGAGAUCUGCUGUGGAUGAAUCUCAUUAUCUUCUUUCUCUGACCCUCUUUGGACUAAAUAAACUCCCAGUAUUCUUGACCAACAGAGGUAGGGUUGGAACAGAACCUCAAAAGUCAUCAUUAGACUUCCUACUAAUAGGGCAUUGGAAGUUCAAGCGACUAACUAGGAAACAGGUUAGUAUUUGUACCCCUACACUGUGCAACAGAUUACAUACCAUUUGCUCUAUUUGGCAUCCUUUCCUUAGGCUAGAUUCCCAGAAGAAAGAUUACUGAUUCGAAGGGCAUGAACAUUUUUAUGACUCUUGGCCUAAAUUACUAGGCCAAGGUUUUUUCAAAGGGAUGCACUAAUUUUCACUAUUUCCCCACACCCUUUCAGGUGAUAAAUAAUUGACUUGAUUUGUUUACACUGACGCCAAGAAUUCUUGGGAAGAAGGAUCAAAGUGAAAAGUGGUAGCCCAUGGUGGGGAGGCCACACUCAGUGCAGUUGUGAAGUCAGCAGCAUUUUUAAGCCCAUUCAUUGCCAGUAGCCCUGAGAUGAGCAUUCCCAAGCUGCUUCCCAGGUCCCUCCUCCACUCUCUCAGGGACAUCCAUUCUGUACCAGCCCCCUCAGAUACUCAUGCCCUUGCCCUCCCUUCUCCAUGCUCAUUAAAACCAGCUUAAGAGCAGAUAUGACAUCAGUCACUUACCUUUUCGUGUGGCUCUAAAUCAAAGUGUCACCUCUCCCAAGCACAUGCUUGCAUCUUAGCUCUGAUUGAGGAAUGAAAAGCUUUGUUCUCUGUUAAAAGAACUUUGAGCUUAGAUGCCCCAGACUGAGAAAUCCACCAAAAGCUGGACCUUUGACUUGAGCGGCAAAGGACCCCCAUAGUCAGGCUGUGAUUUGAGGAGCAUCAAGAGGCCAGAGUUUCCAAGUUGGGACCCAGAAGGUGGGGUUGGCAGGGGGAGGGUAGGAGCAGCUGGAGACUCUGCUCUACCAGGGGAAUACGGAGGUGGGGACCAAUCCCAGGGUAAGGAAUGAAAGUAGGAGCCCCAGAAGCUGAAAACAUACUUCACCGAUGUCAGCAUUUUACCCAGAGCCAUUCCAAGGUGACCAUAACUCACUUAAAAGCCUGAAAGCUGUUUUAUGCCA